rnacentral:pre_miRNA from 1 species
GGCCAGUGUUGAGAGGCGGAGACUUGGGCAAUUGCUGGACGCUGCCCUGGGCAUUGCACUUGUCUCGGCUGAGACGCGCCCGCC